rnacentral:lncRNA from 1 species
CUCCCACUAGGGGUAGCUGUUGCCUGAACGCCGAAGCGCUCCCCUCCCGCCGCUCGCCUCGCCCGGCGCAGCCCCGGCCGCCGGGCGCACCCGUCCCGUGCGUCCCCGGACGUUGCUCUCUGCCCCGGGAACGUCGAGACUGGAGCGCCCGAGCUGAGCCACCUUCGCCGACCCCGGGCGCGGCGGCGCGACUCACCGCGGAGGCGCCCGGACGCGUAAAGGAUGUUGGGGCUGCGCAGCCCAGGAACUCCCUGCCUGGAGGAGAGCCAGCCUGGUCCCAGCUCCUCUCCCCCUCCGGGGUAGGGGUCCUUCAGUUUCAGAAAGUGAAAAAGCCACUUUGGGGCUGGGAGAGCCUUUUCUGCUGCCUGGGACCCGGUGGCGGUGCUGGUGGAUGUGCGGAAGAAGUGGUUCAGGGGACUGUCACUGCUCUGGGGACUCUGUUUGAUUCCUGGGCGGACAGGCUACACUCCAUACCUGAGGGUUCCAGAACACUGGACAGGGUGCUCAGGCCCAUCUGGCUCCCACAGCCCCCUGUGCAGGGCUCAGGGGGGCUGUGCUUCACCCCCAUCCUGCUGCCCCCGCAUUGCUCAGCUCGGCUGGGAUCCUUUGCAGCCACCUGUUCCCGGCACCCAGGAGAAGCCAAUAAACCUUUGUGAAACGAGUGAGUGGUGUGGUGUGGACUUACUGGAAACUUGUUUCUGGAGAAUUUCAAGGUAUUUCGUUCUGCCCUUUUGCCUACUGGCAGCAGUGAGCAAGGUAGGGCAUGUGGGCAGUCAGCGCCCAGUGCGGCCUUACGGGACCUGCGGCGGAGAGCACGGUCCCUGGGAAGUCCCCGUGGGCGUGGGGUCUAAGGCGUCCUCCAUCCCCUGGCCACUGGGCCAAUCCGUUUCCCUUGCUGGGAUGAGCAGGCCUCCCACGGGUACCUGGGCCUCCCAUCACUGGGCUCACACAUGUCAUGUGCUUCAAGAACGACUUCUCAAACUUCUCCCGCCUCUCUGGACUCCAGCGUGGCCGGGCCUGCUGGGUGGACUCCCUGCGGGGGAGAAGUGGCCGAGGGCUCACUGGUCUGGUCUUGGGGGAGUCCUUAUGACAGCAGGUCUCCGCGCCUCCUCACACGGCAGGCCCCGGCUGGCACCCUCCGGGGAGCUCGAGGUAGGAAUGGGGAGUUGGUGGGCUUCCCCGGGGGGUGGGCAGGUUGGGAGCCAGGCCAUGAGAGCUUGUCAGAGCCCCAGGGCCUGGAUGGAGCAGGGGUUCGGGUGGCAUUCCAGGGCUAGAGGCCCGGAGCUCCCGGCCAAGGGGAAAGGCCAGGAGGUGAUGGCCAGGCCACCUACGGUAUGACGGGGACAUGUUCUGUCCCUCCCUCGGGCCUCAUCGGCACCGCAAGGGGAUUGGGUGGCUACUUUCCAAUGCUUUCCCUGUGCUGUCCUUCCAGAAGGCCAGGAGGUUCUAGGAGGUUUUAUAGGACCUGCCUUGCCCCUGCAUGCUGCUUUAGGGCUGGUGAGACCCCCACUGGAGGAUGGAAGGCAUCUGUGGCCUUGUGGCCUUGUUACUUGGUCCUAGCUUUUCUUUUGUCCGCCCUGCUCCUGCCAUGGGCCCUCACAUUUUGGUGCUCCCGACCCUCAAACCCUGGGCACUAGUGUGCCCGCCACGAGUGCAGACACAACCGAGCAUCCACAGUGCUCCCUGGUGCGCGGCCAGGCCCCUCUGGAAGGGGAGCCGGCACCAGCCAGAGGUCCUGUAUGGGUGCCUGGGGACCUCUUGGGGCCAGCGGGGUGCUGGGCCACUUGCGUGACGGGCCACCCCUCCUCUGAACCCUCACUGUACAGGGCCACUUUGAGUCCAUCUGCUGGGUUCAUUCAUUACCCUCCCUGGAAACAGGUGGGGUACAACCAGCCAGCAGAGAGACACCCUAAGUCCCUUAGCUUCUCCGAGCCCCAGUUUUCUCAACUGAGAGGUGAGCCUGAUGUCAUGAAUGUGUCAUGUGUGCAGGGCAAUGCCAGGUGUGUGAGCACGCGUGAGUGUGUGUGUCCGCUUAUUUGUUCUCAGCCUCGAUCCACGGUGCAUUUCAAGCCCCUUGUGGGAAGCCACGGAGUACCAGGUUCCCACCCGUGAGAGGAGAAGGUGAAAGUAAGAGGAGGGUUCUGCUUCCCGCCUCAACGUCCGCCACCCGGGCCUUGGACCCGUCGCAGAUCUCACGCAGGCCUCGAACCUGAGUGGUUGUGAUUCCUAAUGUCCAGGGGUUAAAAUGGGCAUCCGGCUGUGCCAGGCCCGAGGUGGGCUAGCCUUAGUCUCCGAGUCCUGGGGAUCAUCCCGGAGGACCCCCUCCCGCAGGGGUGUG